rnacentral:lncRNA from 1 species
AAUUAGUAGGAUUUUAUUUAAAUAGAGGAGAUAAUUAUAAUUAGGGUUGUUGUUGGAAUUAUUUGAUUAUGUUUUUCUAGGAGUUGUUGUGUUUAUCUAAUUAACCGCUUUAUUAUUAAAUAAAGUGAUUUUCUUUUUCUGAGACAAAUUGAAAACUGUGUUGAAGUUUAAUUUCGCGGUUAUAAUAUGAUGUUUGAGAAAGUUGUUUUAUGAUGAGAAAAUGUGAUACCUUUUUUU